rnacentral:sRNA from 1 species
GUGUCGGACCCCGGCCACGCCCCCGCGGGCGCUCCCACCCCGCCCUGGCCUUCGCCCCUCCCCGCUCCUGCUUCUGUCGCUCCCACAACCUCCCUCAGAUCCUGGCCCUGCCUCCUUCGUUCGCACCCUGGAGCCCCCUGUCCCAGCUCCCGCCACCCCCUGUAACGUCCCCUCCCAGAGCCCUUUUGGAUGGCCUCGCGCUCAACACGCACCUCCGCGACCUGCACCUGGACCUCAGCGCUUGCGAGCUGCGCUCGGCCGGCGCCCAGGUGAUACAAGACUUAGUGUGCGACGCAGGCGCUGUGAGCUCCCUGGAUCUGGCGGAUAACGGCUUCGGCUCUGACAUGGUGACUCUGGUGCUGGCCAUCGGGAGAAGCCGGUCCCUGAGACAUGUGGCGCUUGGAAGGAACUUCAACGUCCGGUGCAAGGAGACCCUGGACGACGUCCUGCACCGGAUUGUCCAGCUCAUGCAGGACGAUGAUUGUCCUCUUCAGUCUCUGUCGGUGGCUGAGUCUCGGCUGAAGCUGGGCGCUAGCGUCCUACUCCGGGCCCUAGCCACCAAUCCUAACCUGACCGCGCUGGAUAUCAGCGGCAACGCCAUGGGGGACGCGGGCGCCAAGUUGCUGGCCAAGGCGCUGCGGGUCAACUCGAGGCUCCGGUCUGUGGUCUGGGACCGGAACCACACAUCUGCUCUGGGUCUGCUGGACGUGGCGCAGGCGCUGGAGCAGAACCACAGCCUGAAGGCCAUGCCUCUGCCACUGAACGAUGUGGCCCAGGCGCAGCGCAGCCGCCCGGAACUGACAGCACGUGCGGUCCAUCAGGUGGGCGUCCCCCUCUUCCCCUGCCCUUCUCUGCACCGUAGCUCCGUCCCUUGGCAUUUCUCAAUACCCCUUUCCCCUAGAUCCAAGCCUGUCUCUUGAGGAACAACCGCACAGACCCUGCCUCUUCUGACCACACGACCCGCCUUCAGCCA